rnacentral:rRNA from 1 species
UAAAAACAUGGCUUUUUGAUUAUAAUUUAAGGUCGGACCUGCCCAAUGAGGAUUUUAAUGGCCGCAGUAUUUUGACUGUGCAAAGGUAGCAUAAUCAUUAGUUUCUUAAUUAGAAGCUGGAAUGAAUGGUUUAAUGAGAAAUUAACUGUCUCUGAUUAAAUGAAUUAUAAUUUGAAUUUUAAGUGAGAAUGCUUAAAUUUUUUAAAAAGACGAGAAGACCCUAUAGAGUUUUAUUUUCUAAGUUUUUAUUGGUUUUGAAGUUUUCUUUUUCUUAUUUGCUUGGAAAAUUUUGUUGGGGUGAUAGGAAAAUUGAUUUAACUUUUUUUUUGUUUUUACACUGAUUAGUGAAUUGUUGAUCCUGAAUUUUGGAUUAAAAGAUUAAAUUACCUUAGGGAUAACAGCGUAAUUUUUUUUGAAAGUUCACAUUUACAGAAAAGUUUGCGACCUCGAUGUUGGAUUAAAAUUAAUUUUCGGUGUAGAAGCUGAAAUAUUGGGUCUGUUCGACCUUUGAAAUUUUACAUGAUCU